GAUCAUGGCUCAGAACGUACGCUGGCGGCACGCCUAACUCAUGCAAGUCGAACGAAGUAGCAAUACUUAGUGGCAGACGGGUGAGUAACAUGUGGGUAUCUUCCCUUUGGCCUGGAAUAACACGAGGAAACUUGUGCUAAUCCCUGAUAAGUCUUUACGGAGAAAGCUUUAUGCACCAUUGGAUGAGCCUGCACUUGAUUAGUUUGUUGGUAGGGUAAUGGCCUACCAAGACUGUGAUCAAUAGCUGAUUUGAGAGGAUGAUCAGCCACACUGGGACUGAGACACGGCCCAAACUAUUACGGGAGGCAGCAGUGGGGAAUCUUGCACAAUGGAGGAAACUUUGAUGCAGCGAUGCCGCGUGAGUGAAGAAGGCCCUUGGGUUGUAAAGCUCUUUCGUCGGGGAAGAAAAUGACUGUACCCGAAUAAGAAGGUCCGGCUAACUUCGUGCCAGCAGCCGCGGUAAUACGAAGGGACCUAGCGUAGUUCGGAAUUACUGGGCUUAAAGAGUUCGUAGGUGGUUGAAAAAGUUGGUGGUGAAAUCCCAGAGCUUAACUCUGGAACUGCCAUCAAAACUUUUCAGCUAGAGUAUGAUAGAGGAAAGCAGAAUUUCUAGUGUAGAGGUGAAAUUCGUAGAUAUUAGAAAGAAUACCAAUUGCGAAGGCAGCUUUCUGGAUCUUUACUGACAC
rnacentral:rRNA from 1 species